rnacentral:lncRNA from 1 species
CAUGUAACUAGGCUAAGCUCAAGAGCUUAGAGGACCACAGUUGGAUAAGGGAAAGGAAAAAGUGAUCGAAUAGCUGUCGAAAUCGCUCGACCACAUCCGAGGUAAGUUCUUGAGUAAUAGAGCUUAAAUUAUGAUUUGAUUAGAUCAUGUUUUAAGCAAAUCAAAAUCAUGCUCUUUGUGUGUGGCUAUUGAGCCGAAAUUGCAAGAGUGAUAAGUGUCUUGUGUUUGAGUUUUCCUAAUGAAAAUGAAAUACGAAUGUGUCAUGAUUUAUUGUUAAAUGUGCAUGGUUAUUCGAAUGAUGUCCGGGCUAAGUCCCGAAGGCUUUGUGCUAAGUGACCAUAUCCGGACUAAGAUCCGAAGGCAUUUGUGCGAGUUACUAAUUCCGGGCUAAGCCCGAAGGCAUUGGUGCGAGUUACUAAAUCCGGGUUAAGUCCCGAAGGCAUUUGUGCGAGUUACUAUAACCGGGCUAUGUCCCGAAGGCAUUUGAAUGAGUAGCUAUAUCCGGUUAAAUUCCGAAGGUACGUGAUUCGGGAAUGAACGAUCUUGCUGUAAAAAUUUCAGUUAAUACGCUUGUAACAUCCCAGCAUUGAGGUAUGUUUCGUAUGUGCUUUGAAUUAGUUGAGCCCUUACAAAUAAGUAUUCGCUCAGUUGAUAAAUGAGCUACCGGCCUUUGGCUAAGUUGAUCUUUUGUGUAUGAACAUAAGGGUUGGUAAUGUGAAGUAAGUAUGAUAUUGAAAAUUUGUGCAUAUGAAAUUAUCCGUUUAGCUACAUGAAUGCUAUACUUUGGUUGUGUCUAAACCCUUUGCUCAAAACUUACUAAGCAUUUAAUGCUUACUCCGUUUCUUUGAUUCUCUGUUUUAUAGAUUUUGGUUCUUCAGCUAUCGGACUCGGGAUUUUGAAGUCAAAGUCGCCCACACUAUCAAAGCCCUUUUGGUACACUUUUGGUUGAACUCUGAAAAUGGCAUGUAUAGGACUACCCUUUUGUUGUUGGUCAUGUACCCUUCGGUUUUGUGUAAAUUUGGAUAGCCAUGCGAAAAUGGCUUAAAUAUACUUCGAUCAUAGCAUUAUAAUCGUUUUGUAUGUUGUCCGUCG